ACGAACGCUGGCGGCACGCUUAACACAUGCAAGUCGAACGAGAGAAGAGGAGCUUGCUUUUCUGAUCUAGUGGCGGACGGGUGAGUAACACGUGAGCAAUCUGCCUUUCAGAGGGGGAUACCGAUUGGAAACGAUCGUUAAUACCGCAUAACAUAAUUGAACCGCAUGAUUUGAUUAUCAAAGAUUUAUCGCUGAAAGAUGAGCUCGCGUCUGAUUAGCUAGUUGGUAAGGUAACGGCUUACCAAGGCGACGAUCAGUAGCCGGACUGAGAGGUUGAUCGGCCACAUUGGGACUGAGACACGGCCCAGACUCCUACGGGAGGCAGCAGUGGGGAAUAUUGCACAAUGGAGGAAACUCUGAUGCAGCGAUGCCGCGUGAGGGAAGAAGGUUUUAGGAUUGUAAACCUCUGUCUUCAGGGACGAAAAAAGACGGUACCUGAGGAGGAAGCUCCGGCUAACUACGUGCCAGCAGCCGCGGUAAUACGUAGGGAGCGAGCGUUGUCCGGAAUUACUAGGUGUAAAGGGAGCGUAGGCGGGAUCGCAAGUCAGAUGUGAAAACUAUGGGCUUAACCCAUAAACUGCAUUUGAAACUGUGGUUCUUGAGUGAAGUAGAGGUAAGCGGAAUUCCUAGUGUAGCGGUGAAAUGCGUAGAUAUUAGGAGGAACAUCAGUGGCGAAGGCGGCUUACUGGGCUUUAACUGACGCUGAGGCUCGAAAGCGUGGGGAGCAAACAGGAUUAGAUACCCUGGUAGUCCACGCCGUAAACGAUGAUUACUAGGUGUGGGGGGACUGACCCCUUCCGUGCCGCAGCAAACGCAAUAAGUAAUCCACCUGGGGAGUACGACCGCAAGGUUGAAACUCAAAGGAAUUGACGGGGGCCCGCACAAGCAGUGGAGUAUGUGGAUUAAUUCGAAGCAACGCGAAGAACCUUACCAGGUCUUGACAUCGUAUGCAUAGCUCAGAGAUGAGUGAAAUCUCUUCGGAGACAUAUAGACAGGUGGUGCAUGGUUGUCGUCAGCUCGUGUCGUGAGAUGUUGGGUUAAGUCCCGCAACGAGCGCAACCCUUACUGUUAGUUGCUACGCAAGAGCACUCUAGCAGGACUGCCGUUGACAAAACGGAGGAAGGUGGGGAUGACGUCAAAUCAUCAUGCCCCUUAUGACCUGGGCCUCACACGUACUACAAUGGCUGUCAACAGAGGGAUGCAAAGCCGCGAGGUGGAGCGAACCCCUAAAAGCAGUCUUAGUUCGGAUUGUAGGCUGCAACCCGCCUACAUGAAGUCGGAAUUGCUAGUAAUCGCAGAUCAGCAUGCUGCGGUGAAUACGUUCCCGGGCCUUGUACACACCGCCCGUCACGCCAUGGGAGUCGGUAACACCCGAAGCCUGUAGUCUAACCGCAAGGAGGACGCAGUCGAAGGUGGGAUUGAUGACUGGGGUG
rnacentral:rRNA from 1 species